rnacentral:rRNA from 1 species
AACUCAGCAGUGAUUAACAUUGAGCAUAAGCGACAGCUUGACUCAGUCAAAGUAAAAAGAGCCGGCAAAUCUGGUGCCAGCCGCCGCGGUUACACCACGUGGCUCAAAUUGAUACCCAUCGGCGUAAAGCGUGAUUAAAGUCCCAUUUUUAUUGAAGUUAAACUAAAACUAAGCCGUGACACGCUUGUGUUUAAGAAGCCCAAAAACGAAAGUUACUCCAAAUUAACCAACUUGAAUCCACGACAGCUAAGACACAAACUGGGAUUAGAUACCCCACUAUGCUUAACCGUAAACCUUAAAUUACACCGAAAUCGCCUGGGAACUACGAGCAAAGCUUAAAACCCAAAGGACUUGACGGUACCCCACAUCCACCUAGAGGAGCCUGUCCUGCAAUCGAUACCCCCCGCUAAACCUCACCACUUUUAGCCUUUUCAGCCUGUAUACCUCCGUCGUCAGCUUACCACGUGAGCGCAACUCAGUGAGCUUAAUGCCCGUACGCCAACACGUCAGGUCAAGGUGCAGCAAAUGAAGUGGGAAGAGAUGGGCUACACUCUCUAACGUAGAAAAUACAGAAGACUACCUAUGAAACCUAGUCUAAAGGCGGAUUGAAGUAAAAAGAAAAAAGACAUUCCUUUUAACCCGGCACUGGGGUGUGUACACACCGCCCGUCACCCUCUUCAAAGCCCCAAAAAGUAAACAACCC